CAUGUUGCCAAGAGAAUUAUUGAGUCCACUGGAUUCUGCCGACGUGAAAUUCUCGUGCCGUGUAUAGGCACGCCUGGAGGAUUAGCUAUAUGCAAUGCGAAGUAGUGGAGAGAAUAAAAAAAAACAUCGACCCACCGAAGUGAACGGCUGAUUUAGGUACCGUCCUACUGUUAAUCAUAGAGACGCCGGCACUGACAUCUUUAGAGGCUGUUGGCUACGUCGGGAGUCGUCGGUUUUACGAAUUGCGUCGGCGAUUACGAGACUCGACCAGGAGAUAUCUAGCGUAAUUUAUCCG